UUAAAUGCAUAAUAAAUGUUAGUAGAACAAGCAACCCUCAUAACAGGGUAUUAGGCCAAAAUAAUACAUAUGUGCAACUAUCAACAGUGUUUGUAGAUAUAUUUUACCAGUGGUUUACAUAUUUUUAGAGAUUCAUCCAAAACAUAUGUUUUAAUCGAGGCUAUGCUAGAAGCUGUUGUUCUAUCCUUGUGAUUGAUUAAAGCAGCUCAUAGCAACUGUCAGACCAAAAUAGAGCAGCAAUACUCAAUAAUUCUUACUUUUGGUAAAGAUAAUUCUCAAUAUUUCAUACAGUUGUAUCCUUCAUAUUAAAUAUAAUUUACAAGUAACCAUAUGACCAACAGCAAUAUGCAUCAAACAUAUACCGGUAACCCUAAUGACAACAAAUAACAUAAUACAUCAUUAAUAGUUUUAUUAGAAAUGAACGUUUUCAUACAAAAUGAAAUAAAGCAUUUUUUUUUCUUCGUAUUUUAAAUAUGAUAAAAAUAAUAAAAUUAAAAGCAUGAUAGUAAUAUUAUUUAGUAAAACACAGCACUUCUUUGAAAGUAAUUGUAAGUAUAUACUAUACAGUAAUUUUUAGUGUGUAUUUCUUUCUCUCCUCCAUACAAUCUGAUUCACCAUUUAUUUUUCUGUAAUUUAAAUACAUACAUAUAUUUUGGUAUAUUUACAAGAUAAAUUUUCUUUUGUUAAUAAAAUCUGAUCACAAGACAUCUGAUGGUACAAUUAUUUUUAAAAUUAACAAGUUGAAAUGUGAGCUAAUGAUAACCCAGCUAUUAGUAUUUUAAAAGUAAACAUAAAUUUGAUGUAAGAUGGGUUUUAAAAAGCAUCACUAAGUUACUGUUAGGCAUGCUCACAAGUAUGGUUCCAAAUUUCAAAAAGCCCUGAUUUGUAAUUCCUGAGAAAAACGUGAUGAAAAUUUCAUACAAGGCCAAUAUCUAAAAUAAUAUAUAAGUAUUUGGUGAACAGGAAGUUAAUGAGCAAUGAAUCUUAUAAUGCAUCAAACUGAAAAGCAUUGCUCACAGAAGCUGGACUAAAUUUUAGAAUUUGUAGUUUCUGAGAAAAAUAUGAAAUAAUUUUCGGGAACUGAGUUGACUGACAGAAACAUCAUUAGCCAUAAAGCAGUAUACAAAAGGGUAUAAUAAAGGACAAAUAAAAUAGGUUUUACUGUGCUUAUCCAGUGACCUUUGGGGUAUCACAAUAGCAAUGGCCAAAACAGUUUAACAAAUUGCAGUUAGAUUUCUUCUCCAACUAACUGAUCAAACUGGUAAAUAUUUUAGCAGAUUGCUCAAGUGAAUGUUGUUAGUAUGAAGUGAGUGCUGUAAAAUCAAAAGUAAUACUUACCAUCCAGAUCCAGUUAGUUGAUAUCUUUGUCAUUUGUUUCAAACACAAA
rnacentral:lncRNA from 1 species